AUUCUCUCAUUGCGGCAUCUAGGAUCCAGAAGUGAAAAGAACUUUUCCUAGCCUAAGUUUACAUUCGUCGAAUAGACAAUGUUACAACAAUAAGAGGAAGGCAGAAGGGAAGGAAGAAUUCCCCUCUGCCAAGUAUUUAAGUGGCGCUUGGUUUAUUCCAAGUCCCCCCGGGAAGAAACACAGCGCUUCGUCCUCAAAUCUUCAUGGAAUGCUACUAUGAGCUGAAUGGGAUGCCUGAGAUACUGCCUCUAGGAAGCAAAGUGGCUCAAGAGGCUGGCUGGCAAGAUGGCCGAAUAGGAACAGCUCCAGUCUGCAGCUCCUAGUGAGAUCAACGCCAAAGGCGGGUGACUUCUGCAUUUCCAACUGAGAUACCCAGCUCAUCUCACUGGGACUGGUUAGACAAGGUACAAGGCCUGAAAGAACCUAUCCAAAUAUCAGCUCUGGUUUUCCUCUUCUCCUGCCAGCGGUGUUCUAAAACCAUAGAGAUUGAGAAGACUGAUCAGCUUCCACAGGAUGAGAACGAUGACCAAGAAAUAUGCUGGCGGCCUCUAAGAAAAUAUCGUGUUUUGCGAAGGACUUCUGGGUCUUCAACUUGCAUUCGGG
rnacentral:lncRNA from 1 species